GGAGCGUCCUGUGAGGGAGGGGCUGCACUGCCACUUUACUGAUGAGGAAAUUAAGGUUCAGAGAGAUGAGGUCAUUUGUUAGAGGCCAGACAGCCUCCUCAGCCCAUUUCUAAGGUUGUUUCUGUGGUAUUUGCCAUAAAGCCAUAGGUUCAUUGAUUUGUUCUUAAGUAGUUCUGAGUCCUUCCUGCAUAUCAGGCAGGGACAAACGGGAAAGUCCCUGCCCUUGGCAAGUGCGGGGGAAAUGAAAUGAUUCUGCUCAGCCUCAUCCAUUGGUCUGAACAAUCACGUCUCAUGACCCCAGGGACACGGCUUCCCCUGAACGCGGAUCCUAGAGGCCAGGCAGAAGCAGCAUGGGUUUCCACUCACACGAUUUAUCUACUGCUCGUGAAAUCUCUGGAUUUAACUGUGAUGAAAGACCGGAGGCUGAAGGAGAACUUCAAUAUCAUAUAUUUUAAAGGUUGACUCACAGUUUGGAACAAGAAUUAAAGAACCACGAACUUCAAGGUGAUGUAAAAUUCUCAAACAAUGAGAUAGAUAAAAAGUACGCAGCCAAAAAGUGCAGGAAGAAGUGUUAUGGAGAUGGAGCAGGCCCUUCGUAAAAACACGAUGUUGGUUUUCUGGAUUUUGUAUGU
ensembl:lncRNA novel transcript